rnacentral:rRNA from 1 species
GAUGAACGCUGGCGGCGUGCCUAAUACAUGCAAGUCGAGCGAAUGGAUUAAGAGCUUGCUCUUAUGAAGUUAGCGGCGGACGGGUGAGUAACACGUGGGUAACCUGCCCAUAAGACUGGGAUAACUCCGGGAAACCGGGGCUAAUACCGGAUAACAUUUUGAACUGCAUGGUUCGACAUUGAAAGGCGGCUUCGGCUGUCACUUAUGGAUGGACCCGCGUCGCAUUAGCUAGUUGGUGAGGUAACGGCUCACCAAGGCAACGAUGCGUAGCCGACCUGAGAGGGUGAUCGGCCACACUGGGACUGAGACACGGCCCAGACUCCUACGGGAGGCAGCAGUAGGGAAUCUUACGCAAUGGACGAAAGUCUGACGGAGCAACGCCGCGUGAGUGAUGAAGGCUUUCGGGUCGUAAAACUCUGUUGUUAGGGAAGAACAAGUGCUAGUUGAAUAAGCUGGCACCUUGACGGUACCUAACCAGAAAGCCACGGCUAACUACGUGCCAGCCGCCGCGGUAA